UACGGAGGAUCCAAGCGUUAUCCGGAAUCAUUGGGUUUAAAGGGUCCGUAGGCGGUUUAAUAAGUCAGUGGUGAAAGCCCAUCGCUCAACGGUGGAACGGCCACUGAUACUGUUAAACUUGAAUUAUUAGGAAGUAACUAGAAUAUGUAGUGUAGCGGUGAAAUGCUUAGAGAUUACAUGGAAUACCAAUUGCGAAGGCAGGUUACUACUAAUGGAUUGACGCUGAUGGACGAAAGCGUGGGUAGCGAACAGG
rnacentral:rRNA from 1 species